rnacentral:lncRNA from 1 species
UUGGCGCACUUACAUGAACAAUUAUCCGGGAAGUUGGAUUGUAGAUGACCAUUUGUCCAGAAGCAACGGAAGAGAGCCCAUUCAACAGCUAUUCAGAUCAUUUGCAGGCGUCAAAACUUUCAUUUUUAAAGCUUAGCCGGAUCCAAGACAUGCCUACUAAACGUAAAAGCAAUCAAUACCAUAUCCCUUAAAUUACUUAUUGUGACACUCAACUUUGUCAAAAUCAACGUCAUCAAACACA